CUGAGUAGGCGGGCCUUGAUCCUGCAAAAUUUAGUUAACAGCUAACUGCCCAAACCAGCGGGCUUCUACUCG
rnacentral:tRNA from 1 species